GGUAUCUCCAUCUCCCCGGGGGUGUCAGUGGCGCAGGUGGAAAUCUAGCAAUGAGAAUCAGACGUGAAGUCCUUGAGGUGCCUCUGACCGCCACGUGAGUCCCCCAGUCUGCUGUCCCGCGUGCUGACUGCCUCCAGACUCUCUGCGCCUUGCUGCACCCCUCCCCCGGCUUUACUGUGAGGUCAUUAACAUACAACAUUGUGCAGAUUCACAGUGUACAACAUGAAGUUUUUGAUUCAGAAUCCUGGUUUGCUCCAUCAUCUCUGCCUGCUUUUUUCCCUAUGGCAUUUUCCGCUAUCCAAAAAUAUGCUUUUGGCUACCCCAAAGGAUGAUGGCAGCUGUUGAAAUUAGAUUCUCUCCACUCAUGUUCCUAAAAAUUGUACAGAAGAGCAAGGAGAGAAAACCAAAACAUCCAUUGCUCAUGCCUACAGCACACCUAAGAGGCAGAGAGAGAAGAAAACAGCUACAAGUAAGGGUCCGGUCCAAGAGAGAUUACACCAUACUGAAAUAUGGCAGAAGAAAGAGGCGUCAUUUAUCAAAUAAGUGCCCUUUACUCUGACAAUAGAAGAGGGAUCAAUUGAUCCGCAAAACUGGGUAGACUGUGCAGACCGUGUCCUGUCUCCAUCCCCUCUUGCCAGUCCAGGAAAAUGCAACAUAAAUAAUCAAGAAAAAAAGUAAAAGGAACCUGACAACCAUACAGAGUUACAAUAAAAAUAAAACCAAAAAUGAGAACCC